rnacentral:tRNA from 1 species
AAUCUUAUAGUUUAUAAAAACAUUAAAUUGCAAAUUUAAAAAUGAGACUAAUUCUAAGAUUU